AGAGAACGAGGAGGAAUAGAUGGACAACUGAGGGACAUUUCGAGCUGCUGGGUUGAAUGACUUUGUGGUCCAUUGAAAAGUGGCCAAGGACAAGGCCUGUUUCUGGUUUCUGGUCUCUGGUUUCUGGUUCCUGAUUACUGGCGACUGGCUUCCAGCUUCGGCGCCUGGUCUGGGGCUGGACUUGGCUUGGGUCCAUCAUAACCACAAUUGAAAGUUAUUAGUCGAGCCCAGUUGGCGUCCAGCUGUGUCUAAUGAUUUUGCUUCACCAUUUUUUACGCUCGGCUGAAGGUGUCAGCAUUUGGGGGCAGCGCAUUAUAAAUGCUAAGCAGCAAGCACGAUAAACAGGGAUGCUUUCGAAUGCCAUAUUGCGAGCAUGAUAAGCCGACUUAUUCCUUCCAAGUUAAUGUGCUUCACUCAACUUUCUAAGAAUUUCCAGAGAUUUUGUAUGCAAGAAAGGAAGCGUGUAAUUCCCGCAAUAGAAACCUGCCCCAACGGGAGCAAAUUAAGUGGAAUUCGAGACAAUCUGAAAAGUGAAAAUGC